GGCUGCCUCCGCUCUCCCAGCCGUUGGCCCAGGGCUGAUGUCAUCUGCAGCAAAUCAUCUUGCCCGCGGCCCGGAAGCUGGAGGGAAGAGGUUCUCAGGGGCUGUGAGCACGGUGGGCAUGGUGCUGAGGGUACCCAGCCCAGGAAGACGGAACCUGCCUUUUCUUUGUGGAUAAGGAAGACAUAUUUACCACCUUCCCUUAAAGAAUAUAUUAAAACAAAAAACUACUCCUACUUGGACCUUACUCUGCAAGGCCAAAUGGUGAGAAAGUACUGGCUUUGUGGUACUCACAGAAAUGAGAGAAAUACAGAUGCAUUAUCCUAGAUACAGAUUUCUUUUCUUAAUAUGCAGAACAGAUAUCAGGCAUAACAAAGAAUAAAGAGAAGACACUGUCUCUACCCAGCAGGAUUACAGUGACUAUAAUGUACUUUUCAGUUCCUUGGGGAACACAAGAAAAAUUAUUUCAUGUGAUAAUGAUGUCUUUUAAAAUAUAUGUAGUGUUGGGAAUUUUUA